GAUAAACGCUAGCGGCAGGCUUAACACAUGCAAGUCGAGGGGCAGCAUAGAUUGUAGCAAUACAAUUUGUGGCGACCGGCGCACGGGUGCGUAACGCGUAUGCAACCUACCCAUCACAGGGGGAUAAUCCGGAGAAAUCUGGUCUAAUACCCCAUAACAUAUCGAUCGGCAUCGGUUCAUGUUGAAAUUUUCGGAUGUGACGGAUGGGCAUGCGUAGCAUUAGCUUGUUGGUGAGGUAACGGCUCACCAAGGCGACGAUGCUUAGGGGGACUGAGAGGUUUUCCCCCCACACUGGUACUGAGACACGGACCAGACUCCUACGGGAGGCAGCAGUGAGGAGUAUUGGUCAAUGGGCGCAAGCCUGAACCAGCCAUGCCGCGUGCAGGAUGACGGCUCUAUGAGUUGUAAACUGCUUUUGUACGAGGGUAAAAUGGGUUACGUGUAACCUUUUGAAAGUAUCGUACGAAUAAGGAUCGGCUAACUCCGUGCCAGCCGCCGCCGUAA
rnacentral:rRNA from 1 species